UGGGAGGGCGGGUGCUGGAGACGCUAGCCUGGGAUAGCACAGAGCUAGCAGGCGGUGUCUCCAGGCAGCUGGUGCAGAUGGGACCAUUCGAGAAGGCACCCCGGCACUCAGAGUGGCCUCUACUCCCUGUGAUCUCAAGGCUCAGGAGUGUGGGCUUGUAAAAUUUAUUUUAAAUACAAGAAAAGUGCCAAAAGCCCCUCCUGCUGUCCCCACCGUGUGCCGUUUCAGCUGAUCUGUGCUGGACUUUAGAGGAAAAAAAAAGUGUUAGCUCUGCGGUCCCUUGAGGCUUCAAUGUGAUUAUAGAAGAGGAACUUAAGUUUAAGGACCCUUACCUUGUAAGUAGCUGCUCAACCACACAGAGCCAUAGUUUACACAUGUUGGUGCAAACUGGGUGGAAAAGGAAGCCCUUUUCUUUACCUAUAUGUUCCGUAAGGGGAGGGAGGACAGAUUAGUAAAACAUUUUGGUAGACGGUCUGGAUUCUUUUGUCCUUAGUCAUGAGGCUGAUGUAAUAGCAUUCAACUGAUUUCAUGGUAAAGACAGUCACAGUUCCCAGAAAAAUCCUUUCCCCUUGCACCACUGAAGACAUUCCACUCCUACUGCAGCCCUUCAGGAACUGAAGUUCAGAAUCCCUCUCACCCACGGUGUAGCAUUGGCUGCGUCUGUGACCGUGGGGAAGCCCUCCUCCAAAGCCCAGCUGGCACGAUGCCAAGGCACCAGCACAGCUGCUUCCUGUGGGUUCCAAUGCCCCCUCCUGUUACAUUCACUCACUACACCAGAUCAUAAAAAAUAAAUCUUUUAAUUGCUUUGUAAUUGGCACAGAUGGUAUAAUUCAAACUCACAUUUUUAUUUAAUAGACUCUGAAGUAUCACACUGUAGCUCUCACUGAAAUAAUACAGGAAUCAUAAUCUUUAAGUUUACAAAAGUACAUUCGGCAGCAGCAUCAUGUUUGAAAGUUACUUGUAAAAUCAGAUGGGGGCUUGAAAAAAUAAGAGAAAAAGCCAUCUGGAAAAUAAAAAACAAGCCAUACUGAAGCCAUCUGUCAUGACUACUGGAGAAUGGUGUUUUUGGGUUUUUUAAAGAUCUUGUUACUUUAUUAAACGAUCCAGAAGAGUUGCGCAAUUCUGGCUUGUAAAUACAGCGGGGAAGCUGUAACUGUGCCUGGAAAGUGCUCCUCAGGACAAGGAACGUCAAAGUCAGGCUUUGUUGACACCAUGUGCCUGAACAGGCUUUGAAGGAAUCUUUCGUUUCUUAGGAGUAAUGAGAUUCACCGGUUUUUGAUUUAAAAAAUCAUCCUAAAGAGAUUAUAGUGGAGGAGAUAAUCAUUAAACGCUCAUCACUGUAGGUCCCAGAGGAAAAACUCAAAAAGUCCUGUCUCUUAAGGACGAUGUCAGAAAGGCCCAAUUCCUGCUUAUGUUAUCCCUUAAUUUCAGGGAUACCACAGACUGGCAGUGACACAAGCUCUCACUACCAAAUUAAUUUUUUUUUAA